AGUGAACGCUGGCGGUAGGCCUAACACAUGCAAGUCGAACGGCAGCACAGUAAGAGCUUGCUCUUACGGGUGGCGAGUGGCGGACGGGUGAGGAAUACAUCGGAAUCUACUUUUUCGUGGGGGAUAACGUAGGGAAACUUACGCUAAUACCGCAUACGACCUACGGGUGAAAGCAGGGGAUCUUCGGACCUUGCGCGAUUGAAUGAGCCGAUGUCGGAUUAGCUAGUUGGCGGGGUAAAGGCGCACCAAGGCGACGAUCCGUAGCUGGUCUGAGAGGAUGAUCAGCCACACUGGAACUGAGACACGUUCCAGACUCCUGCGGGAGGCAGCAGUGGGGAAUAUUGGACAAUGGGCGCAAGCCUGAUCCAGCCAUACCGCGUGGGUGAAGAAGGCCUUCGGGUUGUAAAGCCCUUUUGUUGGGAAAGAAAAGCAGCAGGUUAAUACCCCGCUGUUCUGACGGUACCCAAAGAAUAAGCACCGGCUAACUUCGUG
rnacentral:rRNA from 1 species